GUCAGGAUGGUCGAGCGGUCUAAGGUGCUGGGGUUAGGUCGCAGACAACUUCCGUGGGCAUGGGUUCAAAUCCCAUUUCUGACA